UACGUAGGGUGCAAGCGUUGUCCGGAAUUAUUGGGCGUAAAGAGCUCGUAGGCGGUUUGUCGCGUCUGCCGUGAAAGUCCGGGGCUCAACUCCGGAUCUGCGGUGGGUACGGGCAGACUAGAGUGAUGUAGGGGAGACUGGAAUUCCUGGUGUAGCGGUGAAAUGCGCAGAUAUCAGGAGGAACACCGAUGGCGAAGGCAGGUCUCUGGGCAUUAACUGACGCUGAGAAGCGAAAGCAUGGGGAGCGAACAGG
rnacentral:rRNA from 1 species